rnacentral:rRNA from 1 species
GACGAACGCUGGCGGCGUGCCUAAUACAUGCAAGUCGAGCGCAGGAAAUCGACGGAACCCUUCGGGGGGAAGUCGACGGAAUGAGCGGCGGACGGGUGAGUAACACGUAAAGAACCUGCCCUCAGGUCUGGGAUAACCACGAGAAAUCGGGGCUAAUACCGGAUGGGUCAUCGGACCGCAUGGUCCGAGGAUGACAGGCGCUUCGGCGGCGCCUGGGGAUGGCUUUGCGGUGCAUUAGCUAGUUGGUGGGGUAAUGGCCCACCAAGGCGACGAUGCAUAGCCGACCUGAGAGGGUGAUCGGCCACACUGGGACUGAGACACGGCCCAGACUCCUACGGGAGGCAGCAGUAGGGAAUCUUCCACAAUGGACGAAAGUCUGAUGGAGCAACGCCGCGUGAACGAUGAAGGCCUUCGGGUCGUAAAGUUCUGUUGUAAGGGAAGAACAAGUGCCGCAGGCAAUGGCGGCACCUUGACGGUACCUUGCGAGAAAGCCACGGCUAACUACGUGCCAGCAGCCGCAGUAA